rnacentral:rRNA from 1 species
GGCGGGGGCGGCGGUCUAAUACUGCAAGUCGAGCGGACUUGUUAGAAGCUUGCUUCUAACAAGUUAGCGGCGGACGGGUGAGUAACACGUGGGUAACCUGCCUGUAAGAUGGGGAUAACUCCGGGAAACCGGAGCUAAUACCGAAUAACACUUUCGCUCGCAUGAGCGGAUGUUAAAAGACGGUUUCGGCUGUCACUUACAGAUGGACCCGCGGCGCAUUAGCUAGUUGGUGAGGUAACGGCUCACCAAGGCGACGAUGCGUAGCCGACCUGAGAGGGUGAUCGGCCACACUGGGACUGAGACACGGCCCAGACUCCUACGGGAGGCAGCAGUAGGGAAUCUUCCGCAAUGGACGAAAGUCUGACGGAGCAACGCCGCGUGAGUGAUGAAGGUUUUCGGAUCGUAAAACUCUGUUGUUAGGGAAGAACAAGUAUGAGAGUAACUGCUCGUACCUUGACGGUACCUAACCAGAAAGCCACGGCUAACUACGUGCCAGCAGCCGCGGUAAUACGUAGGUGGCAAGCGUUGUCCGGAAUUAUUGGGCGUAAAGCGCGCGCAGGCGGUUCCUUAAGUCUGAUGUGAAAGCCCACGGCUCAACCGUGGAGGGUCAUUGGAAACUGGGGAACUUGAGUGCAGAAGAGGAAAGCGGAAUUCCACGUGUAGCGGUGAAAUGCGUAGAGAUGUGGAGGAACACCAGUGGCGAAGGCGGCUUUCUGGUCUGUAACUGACGCUGAGGCGCGAAAGCGUGGGGAGCAAACAGGAUUAGAUACCCUGGUAGUCCACGCCGUAAACGAUGAGUGCUAAGUGUUAGAG